rnacentral:rRNA from 1 species
GACGAACGCUGGCGGCGUGCCUAAUACAUGCAAGUAGAACGCUGAAGGGAGAGCUUGCUCUUCUGGAUGAGUUGCGAACGGGUGAGUAACGCGUAGGUAACCUGCCUGGUAGCGGGGGAUAACUAUUGGAAACGAUAGCUAAUACCGCAUAACAUUGACUAUUGCAUGAUAGUCAAUUGAAAGGUGCAAAUGCACCACUACCAGAUGGACCUGCGUUGUAUUAGCUAGUUGGUGGGGUAACGGCUCACCAAGGCGACGAUACAUAGCCGACCUGAGAGGGUGAUCGGCCACACUGGGACUGAGACACGGCCCAGACUCCUACGGGAGGCAGCAGUAGGGAAUCUUCGGCAAUGGACGGAAGUCUGACCGAGCAACGCCGCGUGAGUGAAGAAGGUUUUCGGAUCGUAAAGCUCUGUUGUAAGAGAAGAACGA